AUCAUGUGAUCAAAACGAGCACCCCCUUCCCCCUUAAAUGAAAAAAAGGGGAACAAAAAGCAGUUCUGUGCAUAUGAAACAAGAAAAGAAAAGAAGGAAAAGGCUUGUGUCUUCCCUUCUUCCCCCACUCUUUGUCCGCGUACCAACAAACUCUUGACAUAAAAUGCUCCAGGAGCGCGGUGACUCAGCCCGGGGAGCUGAGGUGGGACUGUCCGGUUCCUGGGGCUUUAAACCGGGGACCUUCAAAGAGCCACUCCGGGGAUUUCUCUCCAGCUGCGUAAUGGAGGAUUUGCGGCCCUGCCUCGGUUUGACGUGCCCUUGGCUUCCAACCAACAACACAGCUGUGAAAUAAGUUCUCACACAUCUGAGCUGUAUCUUCAAAUGAAAGAUGCAACCAGCCAACAUUCCAUCAUCAGUGGUGACACCCUUUUGGUGCAAAGUUUUUGUAACAUCUAAUGAACCGAGAGGCCAGGAGAGGCAGAGCACAGGCACCAGGUAUCCCGAGGCCUUUCCUCCCUCUUCUAAAGGUGUACAUGUCAAGCCUCACCAGUGCCAUAGAGAUUUACAGUAUGUGAUAGAGAAGUAUGGCUGUUCACUCGAUUGUACACGACACAGCAGUUCCCAUGAUGCCCGGGCGUCAGUCUGUCUGACGCAGUGCUUAUUUUGUUAUGGUAACUGUGAAAGAGCGUACCGUCUGAAGGUAAGACUGUAAGUGCUCUUAAUAUCUGUCAUCUGGAGUGCAAAGUUGUGAAAUGACUUAAUUCAACAAAUAAAAAACUGAAUCCAUCAAGUUAUUGUUGUAUACAUCUCCUGAUACUGAAAUACUAUUUGUAAACUGAGCAUUACUGAUACUCACCCUGCAAGUUAGUUGUUGUUUUCUGUCACUUGGUUGUAAUGUGUAUUCCUUGUGUACCACCACUUCACUUCUCAAAAUCCCACUUGCACUGUCCUGGGCAAAGGUCCCACAUCCUCACAUUCAUGUGGUCUGUGAUCCUUUAUUUUAUUCUUCCUCUCUUUUUAGUUUCUUCUUCAUCACUUAUUCAUUCUGUUAUCCCUGUUGUUUCUCUCUUUUAAUCCGUUGUUGUCCUCCGCUGCCUCCUUUGCUGACUAUAAUCCUGUCUGUGUGCGCUCUCCUGUGCAUACUCAUGCACCCUGGGCUAA